GAAGGCACUUAGCAGGGCUGGCGCUUGGACAGCGCCAGCCCUGCAUUAGCCGACAGGGGAGAGGGAGAACCUCAGAUUCUCGGGGGGGGGGCAAUUGCCCCUGUUGCCACCCCCCUGGAUCCGCCAGUGGAGCUAUCUCACAGAUAUACGCGAUACUGGUCACUAGCAGAUACUUACUAGCACCCCCAUGCAUUAGGAACUGGGAGGAGGACCUGGACGAGACAAU